rnacentral:lncRNA from 1 species
AGAAUCCAGGGCUGGGCCCCACCCUUGCUGUUAGGUUUGUUUGGUUUUUGUAGGUACAUGACCAUGCAUCUUGACGUUUCUCUGUGCACAGAAAGCAACACCUUCACCUGACGAAGGCAAAAUGACUUCUCCAAAGUCCUGUGUUAAAGUCGCCACCGAGGGGAGAAACGUGAAAAAGUUAAUAGAUUGCAAAUAUCAUCGGUGUGUCGAAUCGAUCCAAAGAAGUUAAUUUAUUUAAAGCCAUUAAACUGCGGGUCGAUGAAGGCCUUAUUGUUUUUUUUUUUUUGUUUUGUUUUGUUUUUGUUCAAUCACAUACAUCAAUACAAAGCCUGUGGGUACACUCACUGGGCCAGAAACAAUUAAGAAAAUGAUACUCAAGAACAACAUACCAAGAUGUUCGUAUGUUCUAACCCACUCCUCCCACACCCACUCAACAAGAGUCUAACUCGCCUUUGUGGAUUUUGCACGAUGCCCUAGAGGUCAGAAAACUUGGAUUCUGGAACCUGAAUGUUAUAAGCUUGGGCCCUCUUCAGUCCUUCUUAUCUUAAUUGCUUGUGGCUUACAAUUAAUGGCGCAGUGGACCAGCCUUCCAGGUGUUUUCUUCUCCCCAUCUGUGUGCCUCUGCCUCCUACUCUCCAGAGGUGCUUCAAGGAGCUGCGAUUCCAGACUAUAUCAUCAGGCUUAGAUGGAUGCAGCAUUUAUUGGAGAUCCUCAUGAUCUGACUGGAGAGCAUGACAGAAGCUGGGGUCAUCUGGCAUGAGGGAAUUUUCGUUGAAGAAUGACCUCCAUCAGACCAGCCUGUUGGUGUGUCUGUAAAGCAUUGUCUUGAUUAAUGACUGAUAGGGGAGGACCCAGCUCACAGUCGGGGGUGCCAUCAUGGAGCAGAUGGUCCUGGGGUAAGAAAGCCAUGGAGAGCAACUCAACAAACAGGAUUGUCCCGAGGAUUCUGCCUCAUUUCCUGCGUAGGCUUCCCCUCAUGAAGGACUACAGCCUGUAAGCUGGACUUUAAACCCUUCCUUGCUAAGUUUCUUUUGGUAGUGGCCUUGACCUCAGCCAUGCAGAGCAAACUAAGACAUGCACAAAUAAAGUUGUCAAACAUGAAAUAAUAAAUGCAUACUGACAUUUGACCCUGUCGGUAUAUGAUACUGACAAACUUUAAGGAACCAUAGGGAAGCUGUAGCAAGACCUUGCUAUCACAUGUGGGUCAGUGCAAGCCCAGACUGAAUACUGAGUCCCAGUGACACAUGUUUACCAACAGAAGUGGGACUAGAAUUUGGUUUCAGGUCCCCAGUCAGAGCUGUCACAACUGCAUCAUGCUUGUCCCUAAAUUAGAUUAGCUCUCAGGACAAACAAGCAUGCUAUAAUUUAUGAUUCAUAAACUUUUAGAGAUGGUCAGCUUUGCAUCAGAGGUUCUGUAGCCAUGGAUUGAAAAUAUUUUGAAAAAAAUCCUAACUCUUUAUAUCUACUGAACAUGGAUUAAAAACUGUUUUUGUCAUUAUUCCCUAAACAAUACAGUACAUUAAAUU